GUCCAUGGUCAGCUGGCUUCAAGACAGAAACCAUCAUGGUGGAAGGGUGCAGCUCUACUGGCAGCCUCGGAUUUUGAUAGCAAGGAAUGACUUCUGAGGCAGAAGGAAAAUCUACUCAAGUGCAAUCCUGGAGAUGAAGGAAGGAUUGAAGAACAAUAGAAAAGGUAAAUCUGCUAGAAAAUUUUAAAUUAUAAACUGGAUAUGGCGGCUCACAUAAAAUCCCAAAAUUCUGGGAGGCUGAGUCAGGAGGAUCAAAAGUUUGAGCCCAGACUUGGCAACUUAAGCUGGGGGAGACCCUUUCUCAAACAUAAAUAAAAGAACUGGGGAUGUAGCUCAAUGCAAAGUCCUUGGGUUCAAUCUCUAGUACUGCAGUAAAUAAAUAAAUAAAGAUGGCUUACGUUUGUGGGUUA
rnacentral:lncRNA from 1 species